AACGUAGGUACCGAGCGUUAUCCGGAUUUACUGGGCGUGAAGCGUGUUCAGGCGGCCUGGCAAGUCGGGCAUGAAAUCUCUCGGCUCAACCGGGAGAGGCUGUCCGAUACUGCUGGGCUUGAGGACGGUAGAGGGUGGUGGAAUUCCGCGUGUAGUGGUGAAAUGCGUAGAUAUGCGGAGGAACACCAGUGGCGAAGGCGGCCACCUGGACCGUCCCUGACGCUCAAACACGAAAGCUAGGGUAGCGAACGGG
rnacentral:rRNA from 1 species